AUGAACGCUCGCGGCGUGCCUAAUACAUGCAAGUCGAGCGAACGGACGAGAAGCUUGCUUCUCUGAUGUUAGCGGCGGACGGGUGAGUAACACGUGGAUAACCUACCUAUAAGACUGGGAUAACUUCGGGAAACCGUAGCUAAUACCGGAUAAUAUUUUGAACCGCAUGGUUCAAAAGUGAAAGACGGUCUUGCUGUCACUUAUAGAUGGAUCCGCGCUACAUUAGCUAGUUGGUAAGGUAACGGCUUACCAAGGCAACGAUGCAUAGCCGACCUGAGAGGGUGAUCGGCCACACUGGAACUGGGACACGGUCCAGACUCCUACGGGAGGCAGCAGUAGGGAAUCUUCCGCAAAGGGCGAAAGCCUGACGGAGCAACGCCGCGUGAGUGAUGAAGGUCUUCGGAUCGUAAAACUCUGUUAUUAGGGAAGAACAUAUGUGUAAGUAACUGUGCACAUCUUGACGGUACCUAAUCAGAAAGCCACGGCUAACUACGUG
rnacentral:rRNA from 1 species